GCUUACGGCCAUACCAACCUGGCUAUGCCUGAUCUUGUCUGAUCUCGGAAGCUAAGCAGGUUUGGGCCUGGUUAGUACUUGGAUAGGAGACCUCCUGGGAAUACCAGGUGCUGUAAGCU
rnacentral:rRNA from 1 species